CGAACAGCAGAACCAAUGAGAUGGCAUGCAGAGCACUUAACAAAUGGUGAGAUAACACAUCCUUCCGAUGCAGAGGCGUGGAAGCAUUUUCAAUCAACAUAUCCAGAAUUUGCAUCUGAGGUAAGAAAUGUGUAUCUUGCAUUAUGCACAGAUGGUUUCAGCCCAUUUGGAAAGCAUGGAAGACAAUAUUCAUUGUGGCCGGUAAUCUUGACACCUUACAACUUACCACCACAUUUGUGUAUGCGACGGGAGUUUUUGUUCCUCUCAAUUCUCGUUCCCGGGCCAGAUCAUCCUAAGAGAUCACUGGAUGUGUUUCUUCAGCCAUUGAUAUAUGAGCUGCAAUUAUUAUGGGAGCACGGUGUUCAUACAUACGAUGUUUCGCGGAAAGAGAAUUUUCAGAUGCGAGCAGUACUUAUGUGGACAAUAAGUGAUUUUCCAGCAUAUGGUAUGUUAUCUGGAUGGACCACGCAUGGGAGGCUAUCAUGUCCUUAUUGCCAAGACAACACAGAUGCUUUCCAACUAAAAAAUGGUCGGAAAACGUGUUGGUUUGACUGUCACAGGAGAUUUCUACCACACGAUCAUCCAUAUCGUAAGAGUAAGACAUUGUUUACAAAGAACAAGAGGGUGUUUGACAGUCCACCUGAAGAAGUAAGUGGCAAAAAGUUGAAGGAACAAUUAAGAGAUUUUGGUGCAGAUAGAACGCCAGACGUGGGUGGAAACGGACAUGAACCGAUUUAUGGUGUAGGGGAAAAUCAUAAUUGGCAUAAGAAAAGUAUCUUCUGGGAUUUGCCCUAUUGGGAGACUCAUUUGUUGCGGCACUGUUUAGAUGUCAUGCAUAUUGAGAAGAACUUUUUCGACAAUUUGAUGAACACCAUCCUUGAUGUCCAAGGCAAGACGAAGGAUAACUUGAAGUCAAGACUGGAUUUGGUUGAUAUUUGUGCUCGUCUCGAACUUCAUGUUGAUGAGCACGGUAAAGGUUCUAUUCCCAUAUAUCGACUGGAUGCAACUGCAAAAGAAGAGUUUUUUGAUUGGAUAACACACAGUGUUAAAUUUCCAGACGGUUAUGCAUCAAGUUUGCGUAAUUGUGUUGACAAAAGUGAAGGGAAGUUUACUGGCUUGAAGAGCCAUGAUUGUCAUGUAAUGAUGCAGCGCCUCCUUCCUUUUGCGUUUUCCGCACUAUUGCCACGAAAUGUCCACGAAGCAAUCGCAGGGAUAAGUGCUUUCUUCCGUGAUUUAUGCUCGAGAUCACUCACAUCAGAUGGUAUUCGCAAUUUGGAAGUUAAAAUACCGGUGAUCCUUUGCAACCUCGAGAAGAUAUUUCCUCCAUCAUUUUUGAUGUUAUGGAGCAUCUUGCUAUUCAUCUUGCGAGAGAAGCGGCACUCGGUGGUCCCGUGCAGUACAGGUGGAUGUAUUUGUACGAAAGGUUUAUGUUUCAUCUGAAGAAGAAGGUCAAGAAUUUAAGCAAGGUGGAGGGAUCAAUAGUGUCUCAGUGCAUCAAUGAGGAAACCUCAAACUUUGCUGAAUACUACUUUCCAUCAGAAGUUCGAACAAAAAGUCGAAGACCUGCACGGCAUGAUGAUAGAGGUGAAAGGGCAACAUAUUAUGUUUAUGUGCCAAACAUGUUUACACAAAUUGGACGACAUAGUGGAAAGUCAACGGACCGGAUACUUACAGUGGCUGAGCAUGCUCAUUUGCACACAUAUUUGCUUACAAACUGCGAAGACAUUCUUGAAUAUGAGAGGUACAUAGAUUUAAAACUAUGAAUUAUUUGCAAUAUUUUUGACACAUAUCUAACAUUUUGUGUUUUUUACAGUAUUUACUUGGUAGAGAUGCGCUUAAAGUACCCGGAUGCGACCGAAGAACAACUCGAACAACUCAAGCAAAACAACUUUGCAACAUGGCUUUCUGAUUAUGUAAGCCAUUGUUUAGCUACUGGGCACCCACCUAAAGAUUGGUUACGUGAGAUAGUUUGUGGUCCAAAGUUUGUUGCGAAGUCAUAUCCGAGAUAUUGCACUCGAGGAUAUGCAUUCAGAGUUCUUAAGGAAAAUACUGUAAGGAGAACAGUUGAUUGUGGGGUUUCUUCGUCAUCCGGAGACGAUGUGUACUACGGUAACGUACGCGAGAUUUUGGAAAUUCAGUACCCGGGAAUGAUUGGCAUGAGAUGUAUUGUCUUCAACUGUGAGUGGUACGACAACGUUGUUGGUCGCGGAGUAAGCACUGACGCAUUCGGUGUUACAUCUGUACAUUCGCGACGACGACUGGAUUUUUACGAUCCAUUCAUUCUUGCUUCACAAGCUGACCAGGUUUGCUAUAUUCGUUAUCCGCGGAUUAGGCAAAGGAACGAUCCUUGGAUCGUUGUCAUGUCAAUAAAUCCCAGAAGCCGAGUACAAGGAGUAUUUGAUCCACUACAACAACAAUUAACCGAAGAGGACGGCGAGAUUGGAGAGUUUGACGAAGACGAUUCAGAUUCAUCAUGUUCAUCAUCAGAUAAUUCCUCAGAUGCAGAGUAGAUACUCUUUUAUGAAUGUAUAUGCAAAUUACUUUUAAACAUUGUAGAUUUCUUCUAAAAACAAAUUAUGGGUUUGAAACGUUGUAUACUUUAAAAUUAAAAAAAUAAAUUAGAUUUGUUGA